UCUUCUCUGGAAGUACUCUUCCUCCAUCCAGGGGUGGUAUCUUUAACUGGAAGUACUCAAAAUGCAUAGGAAAAUUUUUGCUUUUCUUCUUUUUUCUUUUCCUUUUCCUUUUCACUUUUGCUUUGCACCUCUGUCUUUGCUUUUCUCCAGAUUUUGAGCGUUUUGAGUGAUGUCCCAUCUCUCUUUGUCUGAUCACUUAGAAAAUAUGAAUAGAUAGGAGAAAAAUGGAUGCAUGACCUAAAAGUGUAUGCAGUGGAGGUGGUGGACCCAGAAACAGCAACAGCAUGCAACACUUUGAAUAUGGCCUCUUCAACAUGUUUAAUCUCAGUGUCGGUAAGCUUGAUGCCCUUAUCGUCAACAUCAUCCUUGAGCGACAACAACGUCGUCAACAUGUUCACGUGCUUCCCUCUGAAUUCUUGAGGCCUUGAGUUUCUCUCUCCUUGUCAUUUGAUCAAGAAGAAGACCUAGAAACUUACCGGCUUUGAGGUAGUGGUGAGGGUUGGGAUUCGCACCAUGAGCAGGUAUAAACAAGUUGAAAAAAUGAACCUGAAGCAAAAUUUUCAGUCGUUCU
rnacentral:lncRNA from 1 species